rnacentral:rRNA from 1 species
CACGUAGGGUGCGAGCGUUGUCCGGAAUUAUUGGGCGUAAAGAGCUCGUAGGCGGUGUGUCGCGUCGGCCGUGAAAACCUGCAGCUUAACUGUGGGCUUGCGGUCGAUACGGGCAUCACUGGAGUUCGGCAGGGGAGACUGGAAUUCCUGGUGUAGCGGUGAAAUGCGCAGAUAUCAGGAGGAACACCGGUGGCGAAGGCGGGUCUCUGGGCCGAUACUGACGCUGAGUGCGCGAAAGCCAGGGGAGCAAACGGG